GUGCUUACUUCGGCAACACAUAUACUACAAUCGGAAUGACACAGAGAAGAUUAGCAUGGCCCCUGUGCAAGGAUGAAACGCAAAUUUGUGAAGCGUUCCGAAUCUUU
ensembl:snRNA U6 U6 spliceosomal RNA